UUCAAUUUUGUCUUAAAAAAGUAUGGUGCAGCACAUUGAAUUUCAUUUUUUUCAAUUUUUUAUUGGUAAAGUAGCAACAAUAAACUCAAAUGUCAUGUUUUGAUUGGUUAUCAUAAAGCCCAAAAGCUGUUCUUGGUAAUUGGCAUGUUUUAGCCUUCUCUCCCCACCUUUCAAUAAUUCAAUCUCUCUCUCUCUCUCUCUCCAAACGUGAAUCUCAUCAUUGAAAACAAAUUCAUUCUUUACUUAAAAUCAGUUCAUUCUAAACUACCAUAAUCACUUUCUUCAACCUCUCAAAUUUUCUCUAAUUACAUCUUCCAAAUUUGAUUAAUUUCAGUAUUAUUAGUUAAUUAUCACCCCUGUUUAAUGUUCAUAUAAAAAAACCCAGAAGAAAAAAAUGGCAAAAUGUUUCAGCUUCACAUCUUCAAGAGAUAGUUGCUACAAAUAUUCAUUUGAAAAAGCAGGAUUAAAAUCAGUGACAACAAAUCUAGGAGAUGGUACAACAAUGCAUUGUUGGGCACCAAAAAAACCCAAAGAAAAUAAAGCAAACCUUGUAUUAAUCCAUGGUCUAGGUGCAAAUGCUAUGUGGCAAUGGGAUUAUUUUAUCAAUCCAUUAAUCCCAAAAUUUAACGUUUAUGUUCCUGAUCUCGUCUUCUUUGGCGAGUCCUACACGACUCGGUCCGAUCGGACCGAGUCGUUUCAAGCUCAGUGUGUAACGAAGAUGAUGAUCAAUGAGUUUUGUGUGAAGAAAAUGAGUGUUUGUGGUGUUAGUUAUGGUGGAUUUGUAGCUUAUAGUAUGGCAGCUCAGUUUCCUGAUGAUGUACAAAAGUUGGUUCUUGUUUGUUCUGGAGUUUGUGCAGAAGAGAAAGAUAUGAUUGAUGGAAUGUUUAAGGUUUCUAGUGUUGAUGAUGCAGCCGCAAUAUUACUACCUCAAACUCCUGAUAAAUUGAAGGAAUUAAUGAAGCUUUCUUUCUAUAAACCUGCUAAGUUUAUGCCUCUUGCUUCCUCACUGAUUUUAUUCAAGUGAUGUGCACAGAAAAUCUAGUGGAGAGAAGACAGUUGAUAGAAGCCUUGCAUAAGGAUAGGAAACUUGCUAACCUUCCCAAGAUAAACCAGACGACAUUAAUCAUAUGGGGAGAACAAGAUCAAAUAUUCCCAGUAGAACUUGCUCAUAGAUUAAAGAGGCAUAUAGGUGAAAGCGCGCAACUAGUCAUAAUCAAGAAAGCAGGGCACGCAAUUAACAUAGAGAAGCCCAAAGUGCUUUACAAGACCAUGAAGUCAUUUCUCAUUGAUUCGCCUCCAAAAUCUGAAAGCAACGGCAAUAGUAAAUAAUGUGAAAUAAAAAACUUAUUGUACAAUUUUUCAAAAUGAUGAAGGGAUAGAGACGAUUAUAUGUAUGUCGUAAAUUUAGAGAGUAUACAUGAAGUUUUUACUAUACUGCAAUGCCUGAUGGUUUAAUUAUAGAGCAACAUAUUGGUUAAGUCAA